GGGACGAGAAGACCCUAUAGAGUUUUAUAUAAAUUUAAUUAAAAAUUAUUUAUAAAUUAAAUAAAUUUAAAGUUAUUAUUUAUAUUUUGUUGGGGUGAUAAAAAAAUAAAAUUAACUUUUUUUAAUAUUAAACAUAUAUAAGUGAUUAAAUGAUCCAUUUUUAUUGAUUACAAGAAAAAA
rnacentral:rRNA from 1 species